GUAGCUCAGUGGUAGAGCAGCUGCUUUGUAUGCAGCAAGUCCCAGGUUCAGACCCCGGGGCA
rnacentral:tRNA from 1 species